rnacentral:rRNA from 1 species
UACGAAGGGUGCAAGCGUUACUCGGAAUUACUGGGCGUAAAGCGUGCGCAGGCGGUUUUGUAAGUCUGUCGUGAAAUCCCCGGGCUCAACCUGGGAAUUGCGAUGGAGACUGCAAGGCUGGAGUCUGGCAGAGGGGGGUAGAAUUCCACGUGUAGCAGUGAAAUGCGUAGAGAUGUGGAGGAAUACCGAUGGCGAAGGCAGCCCCCUGGGUCAAUACUGACGCUCAUGCACGAAAGCGUGGGGAGCAAACAGG